rnacentral:rRNA from 1 species
UGCGUAGGCGGCGCGGAAAGUUGGGUGUGAAAUCCCUCGGCUCAACCGAGGAACUGCGCCCAAAACUACCGUGCUUGAGGAAGAUAGAGGUGAGCGGAACUUAGGGUGGAGCGGUGAAAUGCGUUGAUAUCCUAAGGAACACCGGUGGCGAAAGCGGCUCACUGGAUCUUUUCUGACGCUGAGGCACGAAAGCUAGGGUAGCGAACG